rnacentral:rRNA from 1 species
UACGUAGGGUGCAAGCGUUGUCCGGAAUUAUUGGGCGUAAAGAGUUCGUAGGCGGUCUGUUGCGUCGGCUGUGAAAACCCGGGGCUCAACCCCGGGCCUGCAGCCGAUACGGGCAGACUAGAGUUCGGCAGGGGAGACUGGAAUUCCUGGUGUAGCGGUGAAAUGCGCAGAUAUCAGGAGGAACACCGGUGGCGAAGGCGGGUCUCUGGGCCGAUACUGACGCUGAGGAGCGAAAGCGUGGGGAGCGAACAGG